UACGUAGGGUGCGAGCGUUGUCCGGAAUUAUUGGGCGUAAAGGGCUCGUAGGCGGUUUGUCGCGUCGGGAGUGAAAACACGGGGGCUUAACUCUGUGCUUGCUUCCGAUACGGGCAGACUAGAGGGGAUGCAGGGGGAGAACGGAAUUCCUGGUGUAGCGGUGGAAUGCGCAGAUAUCAGGAGGAACACCGGUGGCGAAGGCGGCUCUCUGGACCGACACUGACGCUGAGGCGCGAAAGCGUGGGGGAGCAAACAGG
rnacentral:rRNA from 1 species